GACCAAGGGAUAGCUCGGUUGGUAGAGCAUGAGACUCUUAAUCUCAAGGACAUAGGUUUGAGCCCCACACUGGGCA
rnacentral:tRNA from 1 species